AUUGAACGCUGGCGGCAUGCCUUACACAUGCAAGUCGAACGGUAACAGGUCUUCGGAUGCUGACGAGUGGCGAACGGGUGAGUAAUGCAUCGGAACGUGCCCAGUAGUGGGGGAUAGCCCGGCGAAAGCCGGAUUAAUACCGCAUACGACCUGAGGGUGAAAGGGGGGGAUCGCAAGACCUCUCGCUAUUGGAGCGGCCGAUGUCAGAUUAGCUAGUUGGUGGGGUAAAGGCCUACCAAGGCAACGAUCUGUAGUUGGUCUGAGAGGACGACCAGCAAAACUGGGACUGAGACACGGCCCAGACUCCUACGGGAGGCAGCAGUGGGGAAUUUUGGACAAUGGGCGCAAGCCUGAUCCAGCAAUGCCGCGUGCAGGAAGAAGGCCUUCGGGUUGUAAACUGCUUUUGUCAGGGAAGAAAUCUUCUGGGUUAAUACCUCGGGAGGAUGACGGUACCUGAAGAAUAAGCACCGGCUAACUACGUGCCAGCCGCCGCCGUAAGAC
rnacentral:rRNA from 1 species